rnacentral:lncRNA from 1 species
UUAAUAUUCCUUAAAAAAAAAGAAUUAAUAUUAUACCACAAUAACAUUUCUUUUCAAUAUUGAUUUUAUUCCUUUAUUAAAAAAAUAUUUAUUUUAUUUUAUUCCUAAAUCUAAAAAAACUAGAUCUGAGAAAAAUACAUUGAAACCCAUAUUCAUCUUCAACCUCUUGUGUUCUUCAUCAUUUUUCAACGGAAUAGAAUAUGUGCAAGAAACAUACUCUAAUCUGAUUUUUUCGCAAUUUUUUUCAACGGGGAAAGGGAUUCACAAGCAUCAAUUUUAGAAGAAACAGAACUGAAAACGAAAUCGAAAGUGUCUCCAUGCUAGCUCUAUAAAUGGAUGUCGGAACUGAUUUUGUGUCUGGCGAAUUGAUGAAUUUGGGGCUGGAUUUUUUUCGGAUUGAUCUCUAUUAACUCUGGAUUGUUUUUAUCUGACACUGUUUCAAACCUCUGAUGUCUCCAGAUGUUAGUUUUUUUGCUGCUAGCUGUCAGUUUUGAUCGCAGAUGCUAUAUCCUUGUGUUGGAGAAAAAUUGGAUUGAAUUUUUUGUUGUUGUUGUUGUUGUUGUUGUUGUCGUUGAUGAUGAUGAAGAGAAAGAAGAGGUUUUUUCUUAAGAUAUUUUGUUAACCCAAAUGGAUAAUGUGAUUUGGUUUGUAAAAUUGAUAAAGAUGAGGGUGAUGAUGAUAAUGAUGUUGUAGUUAGAUUUAUGAGGUUGAAGAUAAGAAGAAAAAGAUGAGUUGAGAAUGAUGAUGAUGAAAAACUCAGAUCCGGAAAUUUUGUAUCUCCUUAUUUUACAUUUUUUUUUUCAGAAUCAUUUUUGUUUAUUUCUUGAUUUUUUUUACCCGUUAUAUGAAUUUAUAAUUUUCUUUUUAAUUAUUUUUUUUACAAAAUUAUAUUUAUAUACUAAGCCUUUUAUUUUUUAUGAGAUAAUUUGAUUAUAAUGGAGAGAGAAGAGAAAAGUAUCCUAUGUUGAAUAUCCACCAUUUGAUAUGAG